rnacentral:lncRNA from 1 species
CGUGGCUUGUCGAAGUUUCCAACAGAUGUGAGCGUAUCCAUUGGAUUAUUCGUUGUCCGGUUUAUUUGCUGACUCAUGAGGCACUCGCCCACCAGUUGUUCGACGAAAUUCCUAAACCAAAAAAUUUCGCCCACAGAGAUUUAGAUUGAGUCUACCUGAAAUGUGGGAUAAAUUUCGUAUUUUGCGUGAGGUUUCGCGGAGUUUAGAGAAUCAGUGGCGCACUGGCGCGUGAUGCGUUUUCUUCUACUCUUUUGGCUCAUUCUUUUUGGAUCUGGCUUCUUACAAAAGAUGACAGUCCCCCCUACAUGAAGUUUACUGAGAGGACGUGACAACGCUCAUUUUUGGUGAAGCUGGCUGCGUACAAAACAUUAUGGUCCCCCCUUUAUGAAGGUUACUGGUUAAAAAGAUUUGUUGAUUGUACGUGAAGACCGAUCAUACUUUGUGAAAUCGGCAGCUUACAAAAUGUGAAGGGCCGACCUAUAUGUAGUUACUCGUUAAAACAGUGCACAAUCUCUGGCAGCAUACAAAACGUCUGUCUUUAUUAAUUAAAAAGACAUAUAGAUUGGACGCGGAACUGUGGAAAUUCACUCUUGAUGGUUUGUUUAUCUUUUGAGGGCUCUAUUCGGGAUUAAGCAGGCAAGAUGCAGUAAAUGCCCACUGUUAUCUUUGAAGAAUAUGAACAAAAGGACAACCUUAUAUGGAAAACAUUUCCUAGCUGGAACUUAAAUAGUUCGCUUACAAAGUUAAUGGGGCAUGAAAUGGCAGAAUUCAGCUAGCGAUGUUCUGUGUUCAAUCCAUUAUCCAAAAAAGUGUUUUCUAGCUCCACGACGUGAAAGCCAAGAUGGGAGGUGUUUUCUAUUUGAAGAGAUCAAAGUUAUUAGACGUGGAAGCCGAACUUUGGUGUUACACCAGUUCCCUUAGUUAGGUUUCAACGGUUGCUCUUGAAACUUGAAGAUGACAAUGUCUCCAAUCAUAGCUACAUUUGUUGGCGAACUUCUCUGGCCUCCAUUGACCCUGAACCACAUACGUUAGGUACCAAGAAGGUCUAUCGUGUGACAUCUUUCAGGUUCUUAAGGAGCUCGGUAUAGAGAGGCAAGAAAGCAAGAAUCAUUGAGGAACCAUACCCAAUACUGAUCUUUAGGGUGCCAACUCUAGAAAAGGACAUUUAAACUUAUUUUUGUUGUAGCCUCGGUAAUUGUAUAAGUUAUACACAAAGUAAAUAAAAUGCUGAUUGUACUAGCUAAUAAGACCAUUCCUUAGGAAGAAAGAUUUUUCUGGAAUGAGAGGAGAUGAUGGGGCAUGGCUUGUUGUUGAGUUUCUCUUGUGAGCUACUCACCGGUCUCUCAGGAAGAAACACUCCAGUGCCACGUGGCUUAACUCGUGCUGCACCUUUAUCAUCACCAUUUGGCCUCACCAUGGAACCCUUGUGGUUCAAUGCAUACCACAUUCUUGGCUUCCGAUCAUAGUAGCUACCUACUCGAUUACUCUACAGAUUAUGUAACAAAGAUUGAUUAAUUAUACAUCCUUAGCAUUAAUAACAAUAGUUCAUGAUGUUAUAAAAGAAUAGAAACCUGUGGAAAUGGACGAUCAAGAAAGAGUUCAUUAAAAAGAUUUGAAGGUAAGAGAAACAAUCCUUCCUCCACACCAACCACGAUAUCUCCUUUGCAAGACA